ACACUCGCAUUAACAUCUGCUAACCAUGUGUAUGUGACAAAUAAAUUUGAUUUGAUUUUGAUUUGAUAACAAGAUGGAGCAGGGGAGGAGGAAAGCAAGGCCAUCAUGCUCAGAGGCCUGUCCCUCCAGAUCAAAGAGGAAGAUAUCUGAGCUGCUCUUGAGCAGCUGCAGGGAUCCCAGCCUGUGGAUAUCCGGCUGAUGAAGAAGAGGACAUGUGGAGUUGUUGUCUGGAGUCUCCGAUUCAUUCAGCUCCAAACGCACCACCACCCUACACACGCCACCAUGUCUACGAUAUCAAUCAUAUUUGCCAUAUCAAAGGAAUCUUCAUCACACCUAAACUAUACUACUACAACUCCCAGACCCAACAGUACCUAUUCUGGAACAGUGAGACACAGACCUACAUCCCUGCAGCAGCAGAAACCACACAACAGCUGCAGAUUCCAUUUGAGAACAGGCCUCUUCAGAAGCCUCAUCAAGCAAAUAAUCACAGGAGAAAAAGGACAAGCCCAAGAGCAAGUCUGCCCAGCAGGUAACAGACAGACAGACAGACAGACAGCGACACCCCCUACAGACAGAGGGAAGUCCCAUACUGAAGCACUAGUGCCUAUAGUGAGCUACAGUAAUAAUAAGUGUUCUCUACCAUCUCAGAUAGCUAAAGACAUUGAGCAUUGGGGCAAUAGACUGAACAAGCAGGAGGAGAGCUUCAAGAGCAGCUUCCAGGGCCUGGGGUCAGGACAGGGAUGAGGACAGGAGAGAGGCUGCAGCUGGCAAUACAGGCUUCUCCACUUUAUUUGAGAAAAAGUUACUUAUGAUUAUAACCCUUAUGUCAAAGUGCAGCAGUUCCUGGAUCAGUGAAGGAUGAUGACCUGUUUGAUACGAUGAUGAGUGUGUCAGUGAUGUCAAUUAGCUGUUGUGUGUUUUGCUCCUCAAGCCUGGUUGAGGGUUUGAGACCCACCUUGCGGUCUCAAACCCAUGGUGGAGGGUUUGAGACCCCAGCCAAGGUAAGGAUGAGGCUUAAGGUGUCAGCAUGACUCCCUUAAAAGACCUUCACUUGAAAAAUGAGAAAAAAGUUGCAAUAGUACUGUUCAUCUGUUUUGAAACACCGUAGCCAGUAUAC